rnacentral:lncRNA from 1 species
GUUACGGUUUCUAAUUUCAACCGGUUAGGGUUAUAAUAAUUAGGGUUUGUCCUAAUUAUCGACGUACAACAGUAAUUAGGGUUUCUUCUAAUUACCGAUAUUCUUAUUCACAGUAACUUCAUAUACACAGUCACUACUCAGAAAUACCCCAUAACUGAGUUUAAUAAUUAGGGUUUCACAGCACGGUAAUAUGCUAUGACCUAAUUGACCGUCAUUGCUCAAUAUUAU